rnacentral:rRNA from 1 species
AACGAACGCUGGCGGCAGGCCUAACACAUGCAAGUCGAGCGCUGUAGCAAUACAGAGCGGCGCACGGGUGAGUAACACGUGGGAACGUGCCCUUUGGUUCGGAAUAACCCAGGGAAACUUGGGCUAAUACCGGAUGAGCCCUAACGGGGAAAGAUUUAUCGCCGAAGGAGCGGCCCGCGUCGGAUUAGCUAGUUGGUGGGGUAAAAGCCUACCAAGGCAACGAUCCGUAGCUGGUUUGAGAGAACGACCAGCCACACUGGGACUGAGACACGGGCCAGACUCCUACGGGAGGCAGCAGUGGGGAAUCUUGGACAAUGGGGGAAACCCUGAUCCAGCCAUGCCGCGUGAGUGAUGAAGGCCCUAGGGUUGUAAAACUCUUUCGGCGGGGACGAUAAUGACGGUACCCGCAGAAGAAGCUCCGGCUAACUUCGUGCCAGCAGCCGCGGUAAUACGAAGGGGGCUAGCGUUGUUCGGAAUUACUGGGCGUAAAGCACGCGCAGGCGGUUCUUCAAGUCAGAGGUGAAAG